rnacentral:rRNA from 1 species
AUUGAACGCUGGCGGCAUGCUUUACACAUGCAAGUCGAACGGCAGCGCGGGCUUCGGCCUGGCGGCGAGUGGCGAACGGGUGAGUAAUGCAUCGGAACGUGCCCAGUAGUGGGGGAUAGCCCGGCGAAAGCCGGAUUAAUACCGCAUACGACCUGAGGGUGAAAGCGGGGGACCGAAAGGCCUCGCGCUAUUGGAGCGGCCGAUGUCGGAUUAGCUAGUUGGUGGGGUAAAGGCUUACCAAGGCGACGAUCCGUAGCUGGUCUGAGAGGACGACCAGCCACACUGGGACUGAGACACGGCCCAGACUCCUACGGGAGGCAGCAGUGGGGAAUUUUGGACAAUGGGGGCAACCCUGAUCCAGCCAUGCCGCGUGCGGGAAGAAGGCCUUCGGGUUGUAAACCGCUUUUGUUCGGGAAGAAAUCCUCUGGGCUAAUACCCCGGGGGGAUGACGGUACCGGAAGAAUAAGCACCGACUAACUACGUG